rnacentral:tRNA from 2 species
ACCUACUUAACUCAGUGGUUAGAGUAUCGCUUUCAUAAGGCGAGAGUCAUUGGUUCAAGUCCAAUAGUAGGUA